rfam:Acidovorax sp. JS42, complete genome.
GGAGAGGUGGCAGAGUCGAAUGUCCCUGACUCGAAAUCAGGCGUAGUGGCAACACCACCGCGGGUUCGGAUCCCACCCUCCA